rnacentral:rRNA from 1 species
UACGGGGGGGGCAAGCGUUGUUCGGAAUUACUGGGCGUAAAGGGCUCGUAGGCGGCCAACUAAGUCAGACGUGAAAUCCCUCGGCUUAACCGGGGAACUGCGUCUGAUACUGGAUGGCUUGAGUUUGGGAGAGGGAUGCGGAAUUCCAGGUGUAGCGGUGAAAUGCGUAGAUAUCUGGAGGAACACCGGUGGCGAAGGCGGCAUUCUGGACUGGUCCUGACACUCAGGAGCGAAAGCGUGGGGAGCGAUCCGG